GACUGAGCGACUGAACUGAACUGAAAGUUAGAAGCGAAGUGUGCAAAAAUAAAUAUGUGUAGAAUGAAUUAAUCCCUCACCCCGUUCCAAGCACUUCACUUGUAUUGAAUCCUGAGAAGAGCUCUCUAAAAAUAGGUGCUAAAAUUACCCCUACUUUGCAGAUGUGGAAACAGACUUGGACAAGUUGACUGUCUAAGUUCAUAGCAGGUGAGGAAGCUGGGAUUUCAGUCCAGGCAGUCGUGAUCAUAACUAGAUGAGAAAGAAAAAUGUAGCCUGAUAGUUGUCAGCUGGCUAGCUGGUCUGGCAUCAAUAGAUGGACAGUGGUAUUCCCCUGCUUAAUAUAAGCAGUUUCACAGAACACCGGCUUCAGUCCAGGUCAUCUGCGGCCAUGUCUGAAUGAGCCAAAAAACAAGACAACUCUGUAAUCACAUCUAGGCACAAGCAAGUUCAAGAACUCUGUGCAAACCACUUGCAGUUUUUCAGCUACACUUGGAGAAGGACUAUUCUACCUAUCAUUGAACCAGUUACCCAACCAGGGACCUGAACCCACAUCCUUUGCCUUGCAAAUUGGAUUCUUAACCACUGGACCGCCAG